CCUACGGGGGGCAGCAGUGGGGAAUAUUGGACAAUGGGGGAAACCCUGAUCCAGCGACGCCGCGUGAGUGAAGAAGUAUUUCGGUACGUAAAGCUCUAUCAGCAGGAAAGAAAAUGACGGUACCUGACUAAGAAGCCCCGGCUAACUACGUGCCAGCAGCCCCGGUAAUACGAAGGGGGCAAGCGUUAUCCGGAUUUACUGGGUGUAAAGGGAGCGUAGACGGCAGCGCAAGUCUGGAGUGAAAUGCCGGGGCCCAACCCCGGAACUGCUCUGGAAACUGUGAAGCUGGAGUGCAGGAGAGGGAAGCGGAAUUCCUGGUGUAGCGGUGAAAAGCGUAGAUAACAGGAGGAAAACCCGAGGGGGAGG
rnacentral:rRNA from 1 species